UUUCUUGACAUUGGGCUUGGAU
rnacentral:misc_RNA from 1 species